GUCCAGACUCCUACGGGAGGCAGCAGUGGGGAAUAUUGCACAAUGGGGGGAACCCUGAUGCAGCGACGCCGCGUGGGUGAAGGAGCACCUCGGUGCGUAAAGCCCUAUCGGCAGGGAAGAAAAGCGAACAGGUUCGCCUGGACGGUACCUGACUAAGAAGCCCCGGCUAACUACGUGCCAGCAGCCGCGGGAAUACGUAGGGGGCAAGCGUUAUCCGGAUUCACUGGGUGUAAAGGGAGCGUAGACGGCGACGCAAGUCUGGAGUGAAAGCCCGGGGCCCAACCCCGGGACUGCAUUGGGAACUACCGGGCUGGAGUGCCGGAGAGGUAGGCGGAAUUCCUGGUGUAGCGGUGAAAUGCGUAGAUAUCAGGAGGAACACCGGCGGCGAAGGCGGCCUGCUGGACCGCGACUGACGUUGAGGCUCGAAAGCGUGGGGAGCGAACAGGAUUAGAUACCCCGGUAA
rnacentral:rRNA from 1 species